GCGUGCGUAGCCCAAAUGGUUAGAGCAUGAGGCUGUAGAGUCUCGAGGUUCCAGGUUCGAGUCCUGGCGUAUGCU